ACACGGCCAGUCCUCUUUCCCUAACAGCACAACAGGAAGGACAAACUGCUAGCAAAUGUCACCUAUGGAACCCAUUCUACCCUGUGUUGCUGGGGAAACCACUGAGGUGACUGGGUCCCUUGGUUAAGAGCCAAGGUGAUAGGACCUGUGGCCUCUUAGUAGGACUUGGAGGCUUCCCUAACCACUGGCAGAUUUUUCUCCCUGGGGAAGCUCUGAAGUCUCACAGGAGGUUUCCCCUGGAGUCUUGGCUGUGUGGAGUAACUUGAGAAAAACCACAGAAUUCUGCAGAGUUGCGUCAUCAAUAGGGUCUCGGAGUUAACUUGCCAGUGCCAUGAGUUCCUCCAUCUCACAGUAUUGCUGAGUGCCUCCUCUGGCUCUCCCUACAGUGGCCAUUUUGGUAUCAAUCCCUGCUCUGAAGAUGGCUGCCUGUGGGGAGAAUCCAUGCCAGCCUCAGUGUUAGAAAGGGCAUCCAACCCUACCGACAGGAAAAAAAAAUGCCUGAGAAUGUCAGACUCGACUCCAUGACAAACAUGCGGUAUUCUGAGGAUUCCUGUCAGGUCUCCAGUGCUUUCUAGGAUGAUGCGUUAGAUAGGAGGUGUAUGUGGGCAUCUGUAUGUGUGUGUCUGUGGGCAGGAACAGUCCAUGCCAGAGAACUGUAAAUGGAGUGAUCAUGUUUAUAGAAACAUGCCUCCAAGGCAUUUUUCAAACAAACAAACAAACAAACAAACAAACAAACAAACUGAGUUUUAAAAGCCUCGAGGAAAAGACUUUUCAUUUAUUUAAAAACAAAUAAAAAUUCAAAUUGCAUUAAAGGAUGCUAUAAAAAGUGA